rnacentral:rRNA from 1 species
GAUGAACGCUAGCGGCAGGCUUAAUACAUGCAAGUCGUGGGGCAGCAGGGUUGUAGCAAUACAAUCGCUGGCGACCGGCAAACGGGUGCGUAACACGUACACAACCUUCCCGUUACUGUGGCAUAGCCCAGGGAAACUUGGAUUAAUACCACAUAUUAUAUUGAGGGGGCAUCCCUUUGAUAUCAAAGCUUCGGCGGUAACGGAUGGGCGUGCGGUUGAUUAGGUAGUUGGCGGGGUAACGGCCCACCAAGCCUACGAUCAAUAGCUGAUGUGAGAGCAUGGUCAGCCACACGGUCACUGGGACACGCGCCCGACUCCUACGGGAGGCAGCAGUAAGGAAUAUUGGGCAAUGGACGAAAGUCUGACCCAGCCAUGCCGCGUGAAGGAUUAAGGUCCUCUGGAUUGUAAACUUCUUUUCUCUGGGGCGAAAACCAGCUAUUCUUAGCUAUUUGACAGUACCAGAGGAAUAAGCACCGGCUAACUCCGUGCCAGCCGCCGCGGUAAUAC